rnacentral:rRNA from 1 species
AGCAGCCGCGGUAAUUCCAGCUCNUAUAGCGUAUAUUAAAGUUGUUGCAGUUAAAAAGCUCGUAGUUGAACCUUGGGCCUGGCUGGCCGGUCCGCCUCACCGCGUGCACUGGUCCGGCCGGGUCUUUCCCUCUGGGGAACCGCAUGCCAUUCACUUGGUGUGUCGGGGAACCAGGACUUUUACUUUGAAAAAAUUAGAGUGUUCAAAGCAGGCCUAUGCUCGAAUACAUUAGCAUGGAAUAAUAGAAUAGGACGUGUGGUUCUAUUUUGUUGGUUUCUAGGACCGCCGUAAUGAUUAAUAGGGACAGUCGGGGGCAUCAGUAUUCAAUUGUCAGAGGUGAAAUUCUUGGAUUUAUUGAAGACUAACUACUGCGAAAGCAUUUGCCAAGGAUGUUUUCAUUAAUCAGGAACGAAAGUUAGGGGAUCGAAGACGAUCAGAUACCGUCGUAGUCUUAACCAUAAACUAUGCCGACUAGGGAUCGGACGAUGUUAUUUUUUGACUCG